CGGGCUCUGCUGCCCAAUGCAGGCUUCCCCAGAGGCGCAGCCAGGAUCGCUCUCCUUUCUCCUCCCUGUAUCCCCGGGCCCCGGCGCAGGACACUGGGUGCUGGGUAGCUAUCUGGCUACUCAAACAGAAGUUCAAGGGCCUUUGUACCUGUUGGCUGCUUCACUUGCCUACACAGGCACAGCGUGUGUUUGUUGAUUGACUUACUGACGGACUCUGAAGUUUUUUAUAUGCAAGAUAGGAGCCAGAGUCCCCUUCCCGAUGAGCUCAGGUUGGAGACGGGGCUGGCCACUCCCGACCGUCUCAAGGGAACACAUUCGCGGAGGAGAGGGCCAGGCCCCGAGAGGACCGGAAGUGGCGCCUGGCUGUGUCCUGAGCCCUGUCCCUUCCCUGGCAAGUGUUCCUGCGGACCCUUCCAUCGGAGCGCACUGGCACUGGCUCGGCAAAGCCGCGCUGACCCCAGGGGGACCCCGCUCUGCCCACCGCGGAGAACUUGUUCACUUGUUGACUCGCGCUUCUCCGGCUGGGGUGGGCACGGGUGGGAGCAA